UACUCAGUGCAAUACAUGGAUGCCUCAGACUCUAUGCUCCGAUGAAGGACGUAGCCAACUGCGAUAAGCCUCGGUGAGCCGUUAGGCAGGCAUUAUUAGCCGGGGAUUUCCGAAUGGGGAAACCUACGUGGGGUCAUGCCCACGUGCUGUGCUUACGCACAGAGGUCACUCUGAGAACUGAAACAUCUCAGUACCAGAGGAAAAGAAAUCAAACAGAGAUUCCCUAAGUAGUGGCGAGCGAACAGGGAACAGCCCAAACCACGCUUUAGCGUGGGGUUGUAGGACUCCAAUAUCCAUUUCUCUUCUCUAGGCGAACGACCCUGGAACGGGCGGCCAGAGAGGGUGAGAGCCCCGUAGACGAAAGGGAUGAGAUCGGUAGGAGUUUCCUAAGUAGAGUCGGACACGUGAAAUCCGGCUUGAAUCCGGGUGGACCACCAUCCAAGGCUAAACAGGCAUAGAGAUCGAUAGCGGAUAGUACCGUGAGGGAAAGGUGAAAAGCACCCCGGAAGGGGGAUGAAAUAGUCUCUGAAAUGUAUUGCAUACAAAUAAGUUGGAGCCUCCUCUCCACUGGCCUUCCAGAAAGUAGAAGGUAGAAGGUAGUCGUACUAUCUUCUUAAACUACUGACUUCUUGGAGGUUGGCGGAGAGGGGGUGACAGCGUGCCUUUUGCAUAAUGAGCCAACGACUUAGUCCUCUGUGGCAGGCUAAAGCAGAUAACAGCUGGAGCCAGAGCGAAAGCGAGUUCUCAUAGAGCGCUUUUUUGUCGCAGGGGCUAGACCCGAAACCGGGUGAGCUAUCCAUGGGCAGGGUGAAGGUAUCCGAAAGGGUACUGGAGGCCCGCACCAUAACGUGUCGCAAGACGUUGGGAUGACCUGUGGAUUGGAGUGAAAAGCUUAUCGAACCCGGAGAUAGCUGGUUCUCCUCGAAAUGCCUUUAGGGGCAGCCUCGUAGUACACGUCAGGGGGUAGAGCUACUGUUUGGAUGCGGGGGUCUUUCCGACCUACCAAAUCCUGACAAACUCCGAAUACCUGACCUUUGGCUACGGGAGUGAGACGGUGACAGCGAAGUGCCAUCGUCGAAAGGGAAAGAGCCCAGAUCAUUCGCUAAGGUCCCUAAACAUCGUUCAGUGGUAAAGGAAGUGUAGAUGCAUAGACAACCAGGAGGUUGGCUUAGAAGCAGCCAUCCUUUAAAGAUAGCGUAACAGCUCACUGGUCUAUUGCACCUAUGCGCCGAAAAUGUACCGGGGCGAAACGAUGUACCGAAGCGGUGAGUGUCCACUUUUGUGGGCGCAGUAGAGGAGCGUUCCGUUCAGCAGUGAAGCGCAACCGCGAGGUAUGUGUGGAGCGGACGGAAGCGAGAAUGUUGGCAUGAGUAACUACUAGGCAGGUGAAAAUCCUGCCCGCCGAAUCCCCAAGGUUUCCCACGCAACGUUAAUCGGCGUGGGGUUAGUCGGUCCUAAGGUCAGGCCGAAAGGCGUAGCCGAUGGAUAACAGGUCAAUAUUCCUGUACCUUGUAUGAAUCGUCAGAGGACUAUAGUUGAGAGUUUGACUGGCCUCUGUUCGCCUUCGGGCGGAUAUGUCACUCGAAAAGGAUGCUGUAGUUCUAGGGGCGGCGUGACGGAGCGGGAAGACUGGAGCGUGUGCAUUGAAUGCACGUGGAAUACGUAAGACGUUGAUUCCUGUAGGUAAAUCCGCAGGGAGAGUCGAGCGUACAUCCCAACUAUCCGCCUUUGGCGGAGGAGUCCAUCUCUUUCUGCUUCCAAGAAAAUCGUCGCGCCCGAGAGUCAUAUAAGACCGUACCGUAAACCAACACCGGUGGGGUGGUCGAGCAGACCAAGGCGAACGGGUCAUCUCGCGUUAAGGAACUCGGCAAAAAAGCGUCCGUAACUUCGGGAUAAGGACUGCCCUGCGCUUCAAGCGCGGGGCCGCAGCGAAAGAGCUCAGGCGACUGUUUACCAAAAACACAGGUCCCUGCCAAGCCGCAAGGCGCCGUAUAGGGGCUGAUGCCUGGCCAGUGUCAGAAGGUCACGGAAGGGGGUUCACGCUCCCAACCUAAGCCCUGAUGAACGCCGGCGAUAACUAUAAUCGUCCUAUGGUAGCGAAAUUCCUUGUCGGGUGGUUUGAUAACUUGCCCGCAUGAGAGGUAACUCUCAGCACUGGAGAAUUGUGCUACACGGUAAACAGAUCGAAUUUCAAAGAUGUUAUUAAUAACCGUUCAAAACAGUGCAAAACGUGGCUAUAUGCUGGAAUAUCCGAGUAUGCAGCGGUACUUAAUUUUUAUAAAUUAUUAGUUUAUAAUAAUAAUUAAGUCACAAUCCGUCUGUUGCGGACAAUCAGCAGGAAAAGUAUUUCUUUACACACAACAACUAUGGAGGAAUUGGCCGAGGGUUGGUCUAUGGCCGUCGCAGGACUUGGUAUCGGUGCGCAGCCAGAAGAUCGACCAAAGAUUGAAGAGUUAGCCCGACAGUCCGAAAGACUGGAGGAGUGGCUCCGUGAAAACGGAGUAUAAGCUACUGUUCCUCAGAGACUACACGCCACGCUCGUUUCACCAAGUGAAACGAUGAUGAUAUAGUCCCAUCUCCAUGGCGACAUGGAGUGCUACAAAAUCGUGUAGCAGUAAAAAGGUACGUGCUUCGAAUACAAACAAUUGAAGUUCCGACCCGCACGAACGGUAUAACGGUCUGAGCACUGUCUCAACGCGAGGCCCGGUGAAAUUUCAAUGGCGGUGCAAAUGCCGCCUUGUCACGGAAGGACGAAAAGACCCUAUGAAGCUUUACUGUACGCUGGUAUUGCAUUAUUGAUUUGUUUGUGCAGGAUAGGUGGGAGGCUAUGAAGCGGGGGCGUCAGCCCUCGUGGAGCCAACCUUGAGAUACCACCCUUGUAUGUUGAUGAUGCUCACCCCAUGUCUGAAACGGACUGGGGGACAGUGCUUGCCGGGCAGUUUAACUGGGGCGGUUGCCUCCUAAAAUGUAACGGAGGCGUGCUAUGGUCAACUAGCGCCGGAUGGAAAUCGGCGUGAUAGUAUAAUCGCAUACGUUGGCCUGACUGUGAGGCUUACAAGCCGAACAGGGACGAAAGUCGGUGAUAGUGAUCCGGUAUCUAGAAACACGCUUUACCGUGUGUUUCAUUCCACGUGGGUGGGAUAUCGCUCAACGGAUAAAAGUUACUCUAGGGAUAACAGGCUGAUCGCUCCCAAGCGCCCAUAGCGACGGAGCGGUUUGGCACCUUAAAAUAUCGGGGUGCUGCAGGAGCAAUCCUGUACCAAAAAUUCGGCUUAUAACGGUGAACCCGUAGUGGUGUUAUGGAUACAGAACACACCAACCGGCAAUACCGUGGGAAGUCUCCUUAUAUCAAGGAUGACCCCGUAACGACUGACCCGAAAGGGGAGACUCUACACUCUUGUGUAGGGUAAUACGCCGAGUCCUAUGUUCAUUACAUCAGGCUAUGCUUACUUUUGGUGAGCUACGGCCGAUGAUAGGAAGAAGAUAUAGUCUGCACCAUGUGAAAGCAUGGAUGUAUGUACGAUGUCGGCUCAUCACAUCCUGGGGCUGAAGAAGGUCCCAAGGGUUUGGCUGUUCGCCAAUUAAAGUGGUACGCGAGCUGGGUUCAGAACGUCNNNNNNNNNNNNNNNNNNCAGGGAUAACCGCUGAAGGCAUCUAAGUGGGAAGCCCCUCCUAAGAUUGCGUUUCUCCAUCAGUCCGCCGGAAGACGACCGGUUAGAUCGGCCACAGGUGUACGCACGGUGACGUGCUUAGCCGAGUGGUACGAAUGGAC
rnacentral:rRNA from 1 species